AUGCCGAUCCGGGCUUCUCUUUACGCAGAUGAUGCUGCUGUUUUCAUUGCCCCACUCAAGGAGGACGUCAAUUUCUUUGCUGCUACCCUUGAGAGCUUUGGAGAUAUUUCGGGCUUGAUGACAAAUUGCUCCAAAAGCUUGGUCGCCCCAAUUAGAUGCGACAAUGUGGACCUUCCGGAUAUUCUACAAUCUUUUCCGGCUCAACGAUCCACCUUCCCGGUGAAGUAUCUUGGAUUACCAUUGACUGUGAAGCGCCUAAAGAGAAUUCACUUUCAGCCUCUAGAGGACAAGAUCGCGGCCCAGCUCACUCCUUGGAUGGGAAAGCAUGUUGCAGCCCCUGGAAGGAUGGUUCUU
rnacentral:rRNA from 1 species